UACGUAGGGAGCAAGCGUUGUCCGGAUUUAUUGGGCGUAAAGAGCUCGUAGGCGGCUUAGCAAGUCGGGUGUGAAACCUCCAGGCUCAACCUGGAGACGCCACUCGAUACUGCUAUGGCUUGAGUUCGGUAGGGGACCAUGGAAUUCCUGGUGUAGCGGUGAAAUGCGCAGAUAUCAGGAGGAACACCGGUGGCGAAGGCGGAUCUCUGGGCCAUUACUGACGCUGAGGAGCGAAAGCGUGGGGAGCGAACAGG
rnacentral:rRNA from 1 species